rnacentral:snoRNA from 1 species
GCUGGCUGAAAAUCGCCUGCGGCCUCGCCCGUGGCCGUGGGCGAGAUUCGGCGCCCAGAGCCACCGGGGGCCUCAGCUCACCGCCGACUGACUGCCUCGAAGUGUGGGCGGUUGAAACCCAGGUCCCGACAAGC